UCCAGACUCCUACGGGAGGCAGCAGUGGGGGAUAUUGCACAAUGGGGGGAACCCUGAUGCAGCGACGCCGCGUGGGUGAAGGAGCGUUUCGGCGCGUAAAGCCCUAUCGGCAGGGAAGAAGGAGGACGGUACCUGACUAAGAAGCCCCGGCUAACUACGUGCCAGCAGCCGCGGUAAUACGUAGGGGGCAAGCGUUAUCCGGAUUUACUGGGUGUAAAGGGGGCGCAGACGGCAGCGCAAGCCAGGAGUGAAAGCCCGGGGCCCAACCCCGGGGCUGCUCUUGGAACUGCGCGGCUGGAGUGCAGGAGGGGCAGGCGGAAUUCCUGGUGUAGCGGUGAAAUGCGUAGAUAUCAGGAGGAACACCGGUGGCGAAGGCGGCCUGCUGGACUGCGACUGACGUUGAGGCCCGAAAGCGUGGGGAGCAAACAGGAUUAGAUACCCUAGUAGC
rnacentral:rRNA from 1 species